GAUGAACGCUGGCGGCGUGCCUAAUACAUGCAAGUCGAGCGAACAGACGAGAAGCUUGCUCCUCUGACGUUAGCGGCGGACGGGUGAGUAACACGUGGAUAACCUACCUAUAAGACUGGGAUAACUUCGGGAAACCGGAGCUAAUACCGGAUAAUAUAUUGAACCGCAUGGUUCAAUAGUGAAAGACGGUUUUGCUGUCACUUAUAGAUGGAUCCGCGCCGCAUUAGCUAGUUGGUAAGGUAACGGCUUACCAAGGCAACGAUGCGUAGCCGACCUGAGAGGGGGAUCGGCCACACUGGAACGGAGACACGGUCCAGAGUCCUACGGGAGGCAGCAGUAGGGAAUCUUCCGCAAUGGGCGAAAGCUUGACGGAGCAACGCCGCGUGAGUGAUGAAGGUCUUCGGAUCGUAAAACUCUGUUAUUAGGGAAGAACAAAUGUGUAAGUAACUAUGCACGUCUUGACGGUACCUAAUCAGAAAGCCACGGCUAACUACGUG
rnacentral:rRNA from 1 species